rnacentral:misc_RNA from 1 species
AAGAGACGUUGCCCUUCGGGGUAUACCUCCCACCCUUUGUUCAUUAUACCUUUGUUGCUUUGGCGGGCCCGUCCUCGGACCACCGGCUUCUGCUGGUCAGUGCCCGCCAGAGGACCUAAAACUCUGUUUGUUAAUAUUGUCUGAGUACUAUAUAAUAGUUA